GACGAACGCUGGCGGCGUGCUUAACACAUGCAAGUCGAACGGAAAGGCCCUGCUUUUGUGGGGUGCUCGAGUGGCGAACGGGUGAGUAACACGUGAGUAACCUGCCCUUGACUUUGGGAUAACUUCAGGAAACUGGGGCUAAUACCGGAUAGGAGCUCCUGCUGCAUGGUGGGGGUUGGAAAGUUUCGGCGGUUGGGGAUGGACUCGCGGCUUAUCAGCUUGUUGGUGGGGUAGUGGCUUACCAAGGCUUUGACGGGUAGCCGGCCUGAGGGGGUGACCGGCCACAUUGGGACUGAGAUACGGCCCAGACUCCUACGGGAGGCAGCAGUGGGGAAUAUUGCACAAUGGGCGGAAGCCUGAUGCAGCAACGCCGCGUGCGGGAUGACGGCCUUCGGGUUGUAAACCGCUUUCGCCUGUGACGAAGCGUGAGUGACGGUAAUGGGUAAAGAAGCACCGACUAACUACGUG
rnacentral:rRNA from 1 species